UCGUCGCCGUUGCCGCUACCCCCCUCCUCCCCCACCGCUUCGUCUUCCCGGGGCCGGCUCGAGUGCCACCGUUCAACUGCACGAUACGGUGGACAAUGACCCCAACCAUCUAAGCGACGUGCAUUUUAACGUUCCGACAGAUCUGGGGCCUCUUAAAGGACGGGGCGAUGACCAGAAACGAAUGGCAAUGCAGAAUCCUUUGUUUGCGCGGCAGGAGGCGGCAGUUGUGAGAUGGUCACUGUUUUCCUCCCUCUUUGAUUGACAGCAGAUUACUGGAUGGGCUCGAAUUACACACAUGGCCAAUUAGAUGGUAUCUUCCUGCAGUACACAAGAGGCCAAAAAUUAUAUAUUUUUUCAUCCUGGGGAAAAUGUUGACGGAUUAUUGUAACGGACGCAAGUGGAAUGAUCACGUGCAAUACAGAAGCAAAGAAAUAUGGAAACCUGAAAUAAAAAUAGAAAAUGCUGGAAAUGCUCAACAGGCUUGGCAGCAUCUGUAAAGAGAGGGGCAUUUUAUGUUAGGGUCUCAGAUCUUUCAGAAGAACUAAUAUGUUUCUAAUGCUUAAAACCAUGCAACGACCCAAUGAAUCUAAUGAGAUAUUGUCCUUCCAUUCCGCAGGACUAAAAAUGUUCAUCCUCAGGGAAAAGGUUGACUGAAUAUUGGAAUGGACGGAAGUUAAAUGGUCGUGUGUAAUACUUAAAAAAGGAAGCCUGAAUUGUUCUUCCAUUUGUUCGUUGUUCAGGGAGCUUUUUUUUUAAAUAAAUUGCAUAUUCUAAGAAAUAGGCUACGUAAAGUUUAAUUAAAUCGUGUACUGUUGCAAGCUAAAUUUGUGAUUUGCUGUGUGAAACAAAGAGCUGUGUGUAGGAAGAUCAAUCACUCAUCCAAACUGAAGGAAAAUCGAAAUUUAGAUUUUCCCAGUUCGGACGGAGGUCAUUGACCUGAAAGUUCUCUCGUUUUCUCUUUGCAGAUGCUGUCAAACCCACGAGUCUUUUGAACGUUUUGUUUUUGUUUCAACAUUUUUUAGAAUUCGAUUUGGCUGAUGGAAAAAGACACCAGUUUGCCAGCAGCACUUAUAAAUCAUACAAUGAAUUAAAAGGUUCCUAAGCGUUUCAUUUUCUGAUUAAUUAUCUUUGAAUUUAAGACAAAAUAACUUGCACUUUUGUAAUUUCUAAAGAAGGUGGAUGUGCUUGGGCUAUUGCAACCAUCCACAGCCCCCACUUCAGGACUGCUGCUUCUGAUUCAUCUUUUUUCAUUUACUGUACAUCUUUGGAGUCACGUUGUUUAUUUCAUUUUGUUCCAUUCCUUUUUAUCUUGCAUCGUCAUCACUUUUGUCAAUUAAUCUCUAUUGCUUUCACGGAUCUUCCCUUUUGUUCUUGCCUCUUUACCUGCUUGUUUAAAAUUCAGUACCUCUUUAACUUUUUCCAAUGACAAAUCAACGACCUGGCCGUUAGUCUGUCGCAGGGAGUAUUUCUAGUUUGCUUUAAAUUGCUGCUACCUUUUAACAUUUCAGUUUUCAAACAUCGGUAAUAUUUUGCUUUUGUUGACGUGUAACGGACUCCUUCCAAAAAGUUAUCCGGUUGGAACAAGUUGCACACAAUUGUCUGUUUCCGACAAAAAAAGGCCAGUUAGUACAGAUGUUAAUGAUGUUUUGAGUGCAAAAUUUCCUAUUCGUGAUGGGGUUUGAAUCCAGGGCUUUUUUAAGGUUUGCGCAUUUGAUUGCUCAAGCUCUUAAAACAAAACUGGUUAUUUGUUGAUCACCGGAUGCAGCAAUCCCCUAGCGAUUGGGAAGCGACGGAAGAGGAGGUGAUCGAUCGGCACGAAGUUGGAACCGAAAGAUUCAUGCAAUCCCCAUCACAGCUUAUGUGAAACGCAACAUGUGACCACUUUAGAGGAACAGCCGACGGCCCAGAUUGUGGAGUUUCCUCGGCGGACGUUCAAACCUUAAGACAGCAGACAAACGUUGCCUUGUUUGUAUUCACACAUUGCUCCUGUCAACACACCGCGUCUCGAUUGCAACAGUGACGACAAACAAGGGAAAUUUUAAAAAAACGGAAGUUCGGGCACCAUGCAGUCUAUCCCAAAAUCCCCUGCUCUUUAAAACCACAAAAGAGCUUCGGAGGGAGAGAUUGGGAGAGUGAGCUGCUCAGUUUGAUUCUGACCCUCGAGGGCCAGAGAGCCGCGCUCCCAUUCUGCUGCUUAUCCCUGACUUGGGGAAGUUGCUUUCGCUGACGGCCAGACGCUGCAAGCGGCAGCAAAUAAGAAGCGAACAAGACACUGGUCGAAAACGGGGACCUUGACAUUCAACAUGAACAAAAUCUUUAAAAUUAAUUCAACGCUUUUUCUUUGAAAAACUCCGCAAUUUUUUUAUUAGAAUUUCAGAUUUAAAGAUGCUCCACAUCGGCAUAGAUUAUUUAAUUUACACAGCAAAUUAAAGCGUUCGGAUAAUUCAAUCACCGCAAUAAGUAAACAAUGAAAAGGCAUUGACAACAGCAGGAAUAUUACAAGUAUCGCACGUACCUCUGUAUUAGCAGUAAUUACUGCAGCGUCAGGAGGAACACUUCGUAAAGUUGUUCGUUAUGUAAGACGAUUUCUGCCACCGGCAUCUAGUGUCACUGCAUUGUUGGCUGAACAAAGGUGCUUCCAGCUCAUAGAGGGCGAUGAAACAAGAACGAUCCGCAGGGAAUCCUUACAAAAUUCCACACUUAAAAAUGGCAGACAGCAGAAACAGAGAUGCAAAGUGAUUAAAAAUAUUAUGAACUAUAAUAUGCUACGUGUCUUAUGGGAAACAUACGUAUCAGUCGUUACUCUACCCUCAAAACUGAACAAGUGAAGUACAAUCGCCAAUUGUUUUUGUUUCAAUCACUGCAGAGGAGCUGUGAAGAUUAAUGGCAGAUUGCACGAGUCAUUUUGGUCCAAAUAUGAUUUUAUUGCAAAAUACGAAAACGUUGGUUUGUUCUGUUACCGCACAGACUAUCUAUAGAUGAGGAGAAUUGUCAGGAUAACUCUUUUAUAAAUUCAAUAAAAUUCUGCUCAUAUCUCUGGGAGGUAGACCAAUAUUGUGCUUCAGAAUUGUUAUCAGGGAGUAAUUUUGUUUUCUUCUGUUCAAUUGUCACAAUUUUGAAAUCAUGCAGUUAGCGGCACCUGUUGGCAGUGAGGGAAGUAGAAUUUGUUAAAUCGGCCCAGUCCUGCGUCGACUUUGACUCACCUCCAGAAUGAUUCUCUUGAGCAUCAGUUUUCAGUUCUACCGCGGUCUUCUAGAGAGCGGCAACUUUCGGAGAUUUCAAUUCAGCUUUUUGCUCGUUUUGAAGCUCCGUGGUACUCGCUGGAUUAAAACAAAAUCAAAUACCUUGCAUUGUGCCUUAAAUAGUUUUCACUGCAAAAAAAAUCUAGCUUACAUUUCCUAUAAUUCAUUUCAGAACUUCACCACUCCAUUGGCUGUCAAGUGCUUCAGGGAGCUCUUUUGACUUGUAGUCACUGUCGUUUCAGGAUAUGAAAAGUCUCAGCUGAUUUACGCACAGCAAGAUCCCAUAAUCAGCAACGAGAAGAUUGGUGUUUCACUAUAAAUAGGAUUCUGGUGUUAUCCAGUUUCUACAUAUUAAUAAAACAUUCGACAUAAAAAUACAACGGAAAUGGCAAGUCAUUUACAGCCUCAUCCAAUCUCCUUUCUUCAUUUGUGUUCAAAUAAAUCGAAAGAAUGUUUUCUAUUUGGGCGCAGAGCUUCUAUUUUUAGAUAAGGAAAAUACUGCAGAUGCAGGAGAUCUGAAAUAAAAACAGAAAUUGAUAGAGAAACUCAGCAGGUCUAACAGUAUCUAUGGAGAGAGAAUCAGUGUUAAUAUUUUGAGUCUGAUAUUAGUUUUCUGACGAGACGGCAGUACAAUGCCAUGUGAAGCACGGAGCAAACAUUCACUUCUUCAAUGUGUUCUAAUCCCUGGAGAAUUAAAUGCUGACAGAGUUCAUUUCACGAGUCAAUACUUUCUGUGCACUUCAAUAUUUUGGGUAGGGAAAUUCAGCAUGGAAAAUUACAUGGACCACAGGUUGGUUGCAUUGACCUCUGUCCCAGAAUU